rnacentral:rRNA from 1 species
UACGUAGGGCGCAAGCGUUGUCCGGAAUUAUUGGGCGUAAAGAGCUCGUAGGCGGCUUGUCACGUCGGGUGUGAAAGCCCGGGGCUUAACCCCGGGUCUGCAUUCGAUACGGGCUGGCUAGAGUGUGGUAGGGGAGAUCGGAAUUCCUGGUGUAGCGGUGAAAUGCGCAGAUAUCAGGAGGAACACCGGUGGCGAAGGCGGGUCUCUGGGCAGUAACUGACGCUGAGGAGCGAAAGCGUGGGGAGCAAACAGG